UCUGUUACACGGCUGCAUAAGUCUCUGUGCACGAGCUCCAAAGGCCGUUUAAAAGCAAGCACAGCCUUUUUUUUUCCUCUCUCUCCACCACUUUUGUUUUCCGAGGCAGGCCUCCAUAAACCCCUCACUUUCCACCCCCAUCAAUAAACUUCCUCGUAGGUUUGUUGUACAUUGUGGUUCAUCAUCACCACCACUAGGCUAAAACAUUGGGUGGCAGGCACUCCAGGUACUCUGAGACUCGCCGAGACCCUAGAUGAGCUACAACAGUCCACUUUCCAACUACUCGACCCCUGCCUGGGCUCCUCUACACAACGUCAGUGUGUACGAUUGAAAAAUUCCUGUCAGCUCCAGGGAGUCGACUUGGAUUCUCCCAAACAUGUCAGAUCUCUAGACCUGCCAGCAUCUUCCAGGUCCAGACUGCACUGGAUGGUUCCCCAGAGCCUGGGCAGUGGUGAGGCAACCAGACACUCCAGAACGUGGCCAGCACGCCUGCUUUCUCAGGUUCCCCAAAACGUAAUGCCUCAAGGGUCCUAUGGGCACGACGGAGCACCACUUCAUCUCGGCCUCUCACUGGCUACAUUCUGCCGCUGGUUUCUCUAAAUGAACAAUGCCUAGCCCAAUUGUCAUCAGAGAUUUCAUCUAGCAACUGAUGGGAACAGAUGCUGUGGAGAAAGAAGAAAAGGGAUUGUAGGAGGCAGAGGGGUCUAAGACACCAUAUCAUGGACCACAGAAUCAACUAAGUGAGGCUCAGAAACUGAAGCAGCAACCAUGGAGCCAGAAUGGGUCUGACCUAUGUCCUCUGCAUAUAAAGUUGUGAUUAUGUA